rnacentral:lncRNA from 1 species
UUUUUUUUUUUUUUUUUAGAAAAAGACAUCUCUACUCUGAACAUAUCAGUUGUCUUUGUUUUAAAAGGUGUGGUGAUGGAGAUCCCUGGGUAGCUCAGCAGUUUGGCGCCUGCUUUAGGCCCAGGGCAUGGUCCUGGAGUCCCAGGAUCGAGUCCCACAUUGGGCUCCCUGAAUGGAGUUUGCUUCUCCCUCUGCCUGUGUCUCUGCCUCUCUCUCCCUCUUUCUGUGUAUCUCAUGAAUAAAUAAAUAAAAUCUUUUUAAAAAAUUUUAAAAAGGAAAAAAAAAAAAAAUUUUAAAAAGGGGUGGUGUGCUGGUUACUGACCACUAAAGGAUGGGUGCUUUCUAAAAUUUUUUAUUUUUUAGAGAGAGGAAGGGGGAAACAGAUGAAGAGGGAAAGAAAAACUAAAGCAGGUUCCACGUCUUGUACAGACCUUGAGGCAGGGCUUGAUCUCACAACCGUGAGAUUAUGAUCUGAGCUGAAAUCAAGAGUCAGACGCUUAACCAACUGAGCAUUCCUGGGGUUCCUGGGUGGCCUCCAUGGGUUGGGCAUCCAACUCUUGAUCUCAGCUCAGGUCUUGAUCUCAGAAUCAUGAGUUCAAGCCCCACAUUGGGCUCCAUGCCUAGCAAGGAGCCUGCUUAAAAGUAAAAAAAAAAAAAAAAGGUAGUAAAUAUUUUAAGUCUUAUCACUUUGACUUUGCUACUGAAACUAUCUGAUGAGAGAAGGGCCUCUAUUUUCUAACUACCUCAUCUAGAAAACACCAUCUACCACAGCAUGCACCAUACUCAAGUUCAAAAGAGGUUCUAUGAAAGCAGGAGCCACUCUACAGUUUAUAAUCAGAGAGUAUCUAAUAAACAAGAAUCUUUAAUCAUCCAUGUAGUAACAUGCGUGCAUUGUAGUAACACUGCAAAAAAAAAUUAAAAAUUGUGUAAGACUUCUUAGGCAGAGGUGACAUAGAUCUUUGGACUUAUACCAUAGCAAGUCCUUAAGACAAGUAAAAAUCUGCUGCAGUUUAAUAUCAGAUCCAAUGUACUUUGCUGCCUACAAAUAAUGUAUGAUUUAGAAUUGCUUAAACUAUAUCUGAGGGAUAACUGGGUGAUGGGCAUUAAGAGCACACGAUGUGAUGAGCAUAUAUGUUAACAAAUUGAAUUUAAAUUUAAGAAAAAAUAUUAAAAAACAGUAUUUUAUGGGCCAGAUGAAUGGUCAUAUGUCUAGCAAAUACUACCACUUGGAGGUAAUUCCUUCCUGUUUUUACUAUCAUUUCUUUUAAUGUAGUUAUGAAAGGUAUUUUAAUUUAUUUUAAGAUUUUAUUUAUUCAUGAGAGACAGAGAGAGAGGCACAGGCGCAGGCAGAGGGAGAAGCAGGCCUUAUUCAGGGAACCUGACACGGGACUCAAUCCCGGGUCUCCAGGAUCAGGCCCUGGGCUGAAGGCGGCGCUAAAUCGCUGAACCACUCAGGCUGCCCAUGAAAGGUAUUUUAAAACAUUAAAUACUUACCUAAUAACACCAAUUAUAAGUCAUUACAAAACAGUGCUUUGGGAUGCCUGGGUGGCUCCGUGGUUGAUCAUCUGCCUUCUGUUCAGGGAGUGAUCCCGGGGUUCUGGGAUGGAGUGCCACAUCAGGCUCCCCAUGGGGAGCCCACGUCUUCCUCUGCCUAUGUCUCUCUCUCUCUCUCUCUCUCUCUGUGUCUCUCAUGAAUAAAUAAAAUCUUUAAACAAAUAAAUAAAAUAAUUUUAAAAGCCUCCUUCCACAAAUAAAAUCAGAAAAGAGACAUCUUUAAUAUAUACCUUUCAAGUCUGCUAUAAUCAUCAGUAAACUGAAGAGAGGUCUACCCAGCCUCACUCUAAAGUUGCUUUGGGAAAACCUCCAGAGCCUGGAGUUGGAUCUGGCGCAAUACCUGUAAAUGGCUUCCCCUGCCCUGGCAAGACUUGCUGGACUGCACAUAAAAGAACCUUCCAUCACCAGCCAAGUGUCUGCAGACUUCGUUUCCUGUACAGCCUGACUUCACCUGCUCAGUGUUUCUCACUCCAUUCUCUAGACCUGCAGUGCCUCUGGAAGUUCCAUCUGUGGAUUCCUCCCUUGUAACUAAAAUUAUCUGCUCUUUCCCAGAUCCCUCCCAGCCAGACUUUUCUGUCUCACCUUCUAGGUUGAACACGCUCUAAUUGUAUCCAAAGUAAACCCUCUGCUCAACAAGGCUAUAGACACCUUUUCCUCAUAUACUGCCAAAAAAGGUAACCCUGCCCCCACCCCCAACCAGGCUUAUCCUGGCCUCCCAGACCCAGUCAAUGGAAACUCAAGGGGAAAGGAAACUUGGGUUCUGUUUAUCAAAAAAGGAACAAAACGCUAUCCUGUUCUACACCCUCUCCUAAAAACCUAAUAAAAUGUAGUCAAUUGGGUAUUACUAGUUUAUUAAUCUGGAUGUUAAAAUUAAGUACAAAUACAAGCAAUAAGAAAUAAACUAACUCAUUCUAAUACUCUGCUACAAUAAUCAUAGGUUCCUAUUUCAUUUUAUUUUGUUAUAAAAACAAUAGAACAACAACAUUAAAACUAAUUCUGAAAAAGAAAGAUAGAAACCUACUCAUAACUCCACAACCAUGAAACACCAACUACUGACUUGGAGAUAUUCCUUUUUCUACUCUACUAAAUAUAUAUUUAUUUUUAGACCGGAACUUUCCAUAGAUUAGUGCCUUCGUAUAUUUCUUUCUCCUUUUAAUCUGACAAAUUCCUACUCUCCUUUCACAACCCAGCUCAGAGGAUCCCUGGGUGGCUCAGCAGUUUGGCGCCUGCCUUUGGCCCAGGGCGCGAUCCUGGAGUCCCAGGGUCGAGUCCUGCGUCGGGCUCCCGGCAUGGAGCCUGCUUCUCCCUCUGCCUGUGUCUCUGCCUCUCUCUAUGUCUAUCAUAAAUAAAAAUAAAUCUUAAAAAAAAAAAAAACAGCUCAUAUAUGAUGACUUCCCAAAAUACCGCCAGGAAGAGCAGCUGCCGAGCUCAUCAGGCCUCACAACAUUCUGUCCCUAUCUCUGCUACAGCACUACCCCACUGCAAUAGAAUUCAUCUGUUUUCAUAACUAGUCUUCAAUAAAUUGUAUGUUCCAUGUGAGUGGAGAUCUUUCUUAUUUACCCUUGUAUCCCAGGACUUGAUACCAUCCAAGUCUAUGCGAAAAAAAAAAGAAAUGAAACAACUAAGAUCCAGGUGUACAUAUAAUUUGGAUUCAUCUUUGUUAACUUCCUGUAAUACCAUAGUGUCCAGUACCCAUCUUCAGCAACUGUUAGUUUCAAGAAAGGAGUCUGCUUGCAUCACAAUCUCUAAUAAGAAGUUACUGAAAAACUAGAAAAGGGCUUCCAAGAGGCUUUCUCACUGUGGUAGGUAACAUAAAAUCCUGUGGGAAAUGAAUCAAGGUAUACUUCACACCCAUUACACACACAGACACACACACACACGUGUAUGCACGCACUCGCCCACGUCAGAAUAUGAAAGAGGCCUCCAGCAUGGUGCAGAGGGCAGAACCCACCAGCAUUCUUCUGUAUUCAGAGAUAAAACCACACCCAUUCAUUAUACAAAUAACUCAGAUGAAUUAUUAGAGCUGCAGCAUGGUAUAAUUGAGAAAGAACUGAAUUUAGAUGCUAAACUAAGUUCAAGUUUAUUAGCUCUAUGAUCUGAUUCAUCAAUCAACAAAAUAUCCUGGCAUUCUGCUAGAUGCUGGGAAUACAGUGAUAAAAGGCAGAGUCCCGACUCAACAGUACUGCCAGUCUGGUAGAAGAAAUAGAUAAUAAAUAGGCAACCACAGCACAGUAUGGUUGGCACCAUCGUAGGAAAUACUGAGUGCUAAGGACACAUGUUGGAGGGUCAAGGAAAGAUUCCUGGAGGAAGGUAGGUCCCGAAAGAUUUUAACAGAGAAAAGGGGUAGGCGUAAGGAAGGGUCUUUCUAGGCAGAGGGAACAAUAUGAUAAAGGCCCAGAGGCAUCUACAUAAUAGGAAUCUUAAUACCUAAUAACCAUAUAGAGCAAUUUUAAAGUUCAAAUUGGGUAUUGAAAUGGAAGGGUAAAUUCCUUUGUGAAUGGCCCUUAGUAAGAUUAUAAAACCGAACAAUGAAUAAAAGAGCCCUCAGCUCACGUGGAGCAUACAAUUAACUGAAGACUAGUGCCUUCACAUGGUCUUUCCUUUUGUCUUUGUUCUAGUCACUUCUAAUAAAGACACCAGUCGUACUGAAUUAGGAGCCCUCCUAAGGACUUCAUUUUUGCCCUAAUUACCUCUACAAGGCUCUAUAUCCAAAUACAGUUAACAUUCUGAGAUAUUAGAGGUUAGGACUUCAACAUAUGAAUUUGAGGAGGAAGCACCCCCCCCCCACCAAUGAGCCUUUUUUAGACAUUUUCUCCUAAUCAUCCUUCCCUCAUAAAAUUUAAAUAUCCGUUAUAUCUAAAAUUUUAGCUGCCCCCAAAGAAAACAAUUUUUGUCCCCUUGGGGGCAACAUCACCUUCACUGAGAAUGUAUGUUUUACUUUUCUGUUAACACUUUUUCUGAGUUUCAUACAUUUUUUACAAUGAUUAAGUUAUACUCUUUAAUCAGGAAAAUAGCAAACUAUUUUUUUUUUUAGAUUUUAUUUAAAUUCAAGUUAGUUAGCAUAUAGUGUAUUAUUAAUUUCAAGGUUAGAAUUUAGUGAUUCAUUAGCUGCAUAUAAUAUCCGGUGCUCCUGGGAUCCCUGGGUGGCGCAGUGGUUUAGCGCCUGCCUUUGGCCCAGGGCGCGAUCUUGGAGACCCGGGAUCGAGUCCCACGUCGGGCUCCCGGUGCGUGGAGCCUGCUUCUCCCUCUGCCUAUGUCUCUGCCUUUCUCUCUCUCUCUCUGUGUAACUAUCAUAAAUAAAUAAAAAUUAAAAAAAAAAAAAUAUCCGGUGCUCCUAACAUCAAGUGCCCUCCUCCUUAAUGCUCAUCACCACCCCCCACUCACCUCCCUUUCAGUAACCUCAGUUCAUUCCCUAUACAAAAGAUUCUCAUACAGUUUGCCUCCCUGUUUUUAUUAUUUUUCCUUCUCUUCCCCUAGGUCUAUGUUUCCUUAAAUUCCACAUAUGAGUGAAAUCAUAGUAUUUGUCUUUCUCUGACUGACUUAGAUCACUUAGUAUAACAUCCUCUAGUUCUAUUCACAUCACUGCAAAUGGCAAGAUUUUAUUCUUUCUGAUGGCAAGUAAUACUCCAUUGUACAUAUUACAUAUAUAUAUAUAUAUAUAUAUACCACAUCUUCUUUAUCCAUUCAUUUGUCGAUAGACUUCUGGGCUCCUUCCAUAGUCUGGCUACUGUGGACUUUGCUGCUAUAAACAUUGGGGUGCAUGUGCCCCUUCAGAUCACUAUGUUUGUAUCUUCUGGGUAAAUACCAAGUAGUGCAAUUGCUGGGACAUAUGGUAGCUCUAUUUUUAACUUUUUGAAGUAUCUCCAUACUGUUUGUUUUGAUUCUCUAUUUGUUCUUCCAUCUCCCAUUGGUCAGUGUCCUGAAGAUCUUGGUAAUCUGAUGCUGGCGCAAUAAAUACUGACAAAAUGGAAUUAAACUCUAGAAAAAAUGUUAAAGGUAUGGAAAACUGCUUAAUAGUUGUUCCUAAGGGCUGCAUUGAGAGGUCACACUGUGUACUCUCCUGCCCCCCACCCUACCCCUCUCAAAAGAGCCUCAUCUCAGUGAAAUCAAGAUAUAUGAACAAGGUCAUUCACUAGGAAAGAAGUCACCAAAAGGCAGACUGAGAGAAGUGGGUGGGAUGAGAGAAGGGCAGACAAUUCCUCACUGGCUAAUUUUGUGUAUACAAGUCCGAGGACUAAAAAAAAAAAAAAAAAAAAAAAAAA